rnacentral:rRNA from 1 species
GAUGAACGCUGGCGGCGUGCCUAAUACAUGCAAGUCGAGCGAACAGACGAGGAGCUUGCUCCUCUGACGUUAGCGGCGGACGGGUGAGUAAUACGUGGAUAACCUACCUAUAAGACUGGGAUAACUUCGGGAAACCGGAGCUAAUACCGGAUAACAUGUUGAACCGCAUGGUUCAACAGUGAAAGACGGUCUUGCUGUCACUUAUAGAUGGAUCCGCGCCGCAUUAGCUAGUUGGUAAGGUAACGGCUUACCAAGGCAACGAUGCGUAGCCGACCUGAGAGGGUGAUCGGCCACACUGGAACUGAGACACGGUCCAGACUCCUACGGGAGGCAGCAGUAGGGAAUCUUCCGCAAUGGGCGAAAGCCUGACGGAGCAACGCCGCGUGAGUGAAGAAGGUCUUCGGAUCGUAAAACUCUGUUAUUAGGGAAGAACAAAUGUGUAAGUAACUAUGCACGUCUUGACGGUACCUAAUCAGAAAGCCACGGCUAACUACGUG